rnacentral:rRNA from 1 species
CAGGCCUAACACAUGCAAGUCGAACGGGGUGCUUAGGCACCAAGUGGCGGACGGGUGAGUAACGCGUGAGAAUCUGGCUCCAGGUCGGGGACAACCACUGGAAACGGUGGCUAAUACCGGAUGAGCCUUAGGGUAAAAGAUUGUAUUGCCUGGAGAAGAGCUCGCGUCUGAUUAGCUAGUUGGUGGGGUAAGAGCCUACCAAGGCGACGAUCAGUAGCUGGUCUGAGAGGAUGAUCAGCCACACUGGGACUGAGACACGGCCCAGACUCCUACGGGAGGCAGCAGUGGGGAAUUUUCCGCAAUGGGCGAAAGCCUGACGGAGCAAUACCGCGUGAGGGAGGAAGGCUCUUGGGUUGUAAACCUCUUUUCGUCAGGGAAGAUAAUGACGGUACCUGAGGAAUCAGCAUCGGCUAACUCCGUGCCAGCAGCCGCGGUAAU